UUUCCGUAGGUGAACCUGCGGAAGGAUCAUUAUUGUAUAACCGAGGUGCGAGGGCUGUCGCUGACCCAAAAGUCGUGCACGCCCGAGUGUGUCCUCUUGCAUAAUAAUCCAUCUCACCCUUUGUGCAGCACCGCGUGGGCACCCUUCGGGAUCAUCUCGGAGGGGGGCUCGCGUUUUCACACAAAACCCCCUUUUAAAAGUGUAGAAUGACCACAUUUAUGCAAUCAAUACAACUUUCAACAACGGAUCUCUUGGCUCUC
rnacentral:misc_RNA from 1 species